GAUGAACGCUAGCUACAGGCUUAACNCAUGCAAGUCGAGGGGAAACGACAUCGGAAGCUUGCUUUUGAUGGGCGUCGACCGGCGCACGGGUGAGUAACGCGUAUCCAACCUGCCCACCACUUGGGAAUAACCUUGCGAAAGUAAGACUAAUACCCAAUGACGUCUCUAGAAGACAUCUGAAAGAGAUUAAAGAUUUAUCGGUGAUGGAUGGGGAUGCGUCUGAUUAGCUUGUUGGCGGGGUAACGGCCCACCAAGGCGACGAUCAGUAGGGGUUCUGAGAGGAAGGUCCCCCACAUUGGAACUGAGACACGGUCCAAACUCCUACGGGAGGCAGCAGUGAGGAAUAUUGGUCAAUGGGCGAGAGCCUGAACCAGCCAAGUAGCGUGCAGGAUGACGGCCCUAUGGGUUGUAAACUGCUUUUAUAAGGGAAUAAAGUGAGAGUCGUGACUCUUUUUGCAUGUACCUUAUGAAUAAGGACCGGCUAAUUCCGUG
rnacentral:rRNA from 1 species